UGAACCAAUGAUUAGGUCUGGUGGUGGAUGAGUCAUGGACGAUGAAUAAUAAGUUUCUAGAACCUUGAGGUCCAA
ensembl:snoRNA